rnacentral:lncRNA from 1 species
AUAAUUCAAGUUUAAUAAACGUUGCAGGUUAAUGAGCAUAAAAAGCAGUCAAAGCAACAGAACCAUUCUCAGAGGAAAAGAAAAGAACAAUGCACUGGAAAUGGUUGUUUUAAUUAUGCUGGCAACCUGCCGAAUGAAGUUAGGCAUCUUCCUUCUGGGGACAUAUCUCAUGAAACUUUCCAAUAUAAGGCUAUUCAAUGUCAACCGAAGUCUCCGGUUCCAGAUUCUUGUGAUUACCUACAGAAUGCUUUUCCUUACGUGCAUUUAGAUAGCAGACAUUUACCAGAUAAAACUUCGGUACAUACAACUCAAUCUGCUGUCAGAUCUGAGAAUGAUGACUUGGCAUUCCUUUCACCGAGGGAGCCAUUGUAUGCCUCCAGUCAAGUGCAUUUCUUGGAAAAUUCUGGUGAUCCUCCAUUUCAGGUGGCUACUAUAGCGGGCAGUGAAAAAAGAGAGAAGCUAGUCAAUCAUAAAGGUAGUCAGUCUUCCAUACUUGAUCCCAUUUCACUGGAAAAGAAAGUUCACCGUUUUGGAGAUAAAUUUGAAAAUCAAAGUGAUGUUGAUGUAGUCGGCAUAGUGAUUCCAGCAGAAUUAUGCUCAUCAAAUAUACAAGAGAGCUCAUCCAUGAACUCAGCUUUGGAAGAUAUUUCAAUUGAAGCAGCUAGUUUACAACAGCUUCAGCUUGUCAUGGAACAGGUAUGAUGGACUUCCAAAAAUUUAUAAUUUGCUUUGAUAUUUAAUACGCUAAAAUGUAAUUUCGAUGUUGUAACCCGCUCCCAGGAGGUUUGACCUACGCAUUUCAUUGUGUUCUAUCAUUGGUGGGAGAGAAUUUUUAUAAUUGUGGAGCACGUAGAAAUGAAAUGGAACAAUAAUUGGUAGUGAGAUUCUGACAUAAAGGUUUGAUUAUUAGAAUGCUAUAGUCGGAGAUGAUGCGCGGAGUGAUAAGAGUCUUAUAUUACAUCCAUUUUGUUUUGACACUAGAUUAGUGCUAAGAUCCUGUAGACAAUGCCCUGUACUAAAACUUUAAUCCUGUGUAUCUGUGAGCAUAUGUUCAGCAAAUUUAGUGAGCAUGCCGCCAGACACAGGUUGGAGGACUUUCUGCUACUCCCUGAAUAUACGUGUGACUGCCACCUUGAUAUGUGUGUGUCUGUACGUUUUGCAUCUGAUACGUUUUUGUUAUUAAAGGAAAAUGGAGUGUGUUCAUGUCUUACAUGUCAUGAUGUCAAUUUUACAGUGUUUAAAUUAUGUUACGAAUUCUUCUGCCUUGAAACUGACGAUGGUUAAUGUUUUCUUGGUUUAGUUGGACAUGAAAACAAAAUUAUGCAUCAGGGACAGUUUAUAUCGUUUGGCUAUGAAUGCUGAGCAAAGACAUACCCAUGCAAGCCCCAAUGGUGGCUGCAAAGAUGAGAGAGAAGCCAGUGGAGCAUUCAUGGCAGAAGGAUCAAACAAGUAAGUCAAAUCUUUGAUUUCUGUAUCGUUAGUCUCAUCUUUAGUUGCAAAUAAUGACACCCUCUGAUACUCUCAUGAUUUUUCAUUAGGUGCACUGGAUUUAUAGAUAUGGAAACCGACACAAAUCCUAUAGAUCGCUCCAUCGCUCACUUACUGUUUCACAGGCCUUCAGAUUCGGCUUCCAUACCUGUCAAUGACUCAUUUGCAUUCAGGUCACCAAGCAUGGUAAUUUUUCAUUUCAUGUUUAGUUACAACAUGCAUAUGUUGUCCCAACAGUUUCUUGAUGACAACUUAUGGUGCGUUCAGUAAUGAGGAUUGAAAAGUAGUAGAUGGUAAAAUGUAAGAAAUAGAUGCUAAAAUUCUAUUAUGAACAGGUUCAUGGACCCAUCACCAGCAUGUCUGCAAUGGAUGAGAAAUCUAUCAAUAAUGAAGAAACUGCUGCUGCUGAAACAUAGAGAAUUGUUUCUUGACUGCUGAGAGUCGACGAGUCUCUAGCUUUUGCAAAGCCCAUACCAUGUACAUAAACAUACCAGUUGACUCAAGCUUAUAUGCUAUUUAAAUCAUGUAAAUUUGAGUCUGGUUUUUAACCUACCGUUUGGUGACCAACCUUGUACGGCUUUUCAUGGGGAAAUUGUUUUUCUUUAUUAUUUUUUUUUUUCACAUUUUACGAAUAUCACUGAGUAAAUAUGAAAUUAUGCUCUACAUAUGACUGUUUGAUGCGAGACACAGAGAGAGUUUAAUGGUUCGGGGUUGAACCAACUUGUUUCUAAGCCAAGACUGAUCUUCUAUUGCAGCAAUUCAAAUAGUGCGGCAUUUAAGGAAAAUGCGAAGAUACAAUUUGUCCCAUAACAAUUUCUUGAGCCCGUACAUUUCUUGGCGGAGAAGGGUAGCGAGUUUAGGAAGUUUUCAAAGACUUGCCAUUUUCGAGAAGUGGAAAAAAGUGAAAUGGUUUUAGAUUAUAAUCAAGAAGUAAAAUGUGACCAACCAAAUUCAAAUUCAGCCAUAAAUAACAGAUCUAAAAUUCUUACGCUCACAAAUACUCUGCUGUUUAUGCUAUGCUAUACAUAAUGUCGAACAAAAAUGAAGAAGAAAAUAGCAAGCAUUGAUGAUCUCAUGACUAAACAGAAAAUUCCACUGCUAAUCAAACUGUUAUUGGGAAAAAGAUAAGAGGAAAAGGAAAGUUAAGAGACUGAUCAUCUCUUACUCCAAUAACCUAUAUCAUUGUUGAUGAUCCUUAACAUGUUUAAUGAAUUCCAUGUACUACUGCUGUUUCCUCUAAUGUAGCAAACAAAUAUAAAUAAUGAACCUAUGCUUCAGGUUUUUUAAUAACUAUCAUUUUAAUCAGGUUUGUCUUGUUCUUGAAGUUUUUCAAUUUAAUUAGUUAUUUGUCUUUUUAUCAAGAAAAGAAACAAUUAUGGUUGGCAGUUCAGUUAUAUAUUUUGCACGCGACCUAUGCUAAUUUUUUACAUUUAAAACUCUACUCAUAAAAAUUGUAUAGGAAAUUGCAAAUUAUUGAUACCCAUUUCAACGAGGUGUAAUGAUGAACAUUUCAUUUGCCUAGACUAUAAACCAUGGAUAUCCAUUACUUCUAGAAAACUGAUUACAAAAACUCAGGUUAUGAUCAGGCCUGAGCAAGCAUUCCUGCAUUUUCUUGAAACUUAAAAGGCCAUUUUUAUUAGUAGACCUGUGAAUUCUUCUACACAUUCUUUAUGCACCCUACUUUAGACUGACCUCCAAAGCUUUAAUGUUUAUUCUUGUGAACAUAAAUCAUCAACUACGCAGUCAAUGCAGAAGUUCAUCUUUUGUAAUGUAAUUGAAAUAAAAUAAAUAAAUAAUAGUCAGCUCAAAAUAGUUGAAUUAUCUUACCAUUAAAAUUUGCUGUUCAUAACAGAAAGGAUGCCUGAGAAAAUGUGCUGAAGCAAGAAGAUUAUUUGUCUUUACUGGAAAUAUUCCAUACACCUGUUACCUGUCUCCUCCUUUCCUCCUGCUUUCUUUCCUUUUUUUGGUAAAGCUGUCAGUCAAUCCACCUUUCCCUAGUAAGUUCAUCACUGUUUCAGUAAAAAUUUGAUUAUUAAAAUUGAGCUACUCAUUUAUGCUACAGAGGAAAAGGCAAACCAUAAAUAUCCUGUAAUAUGAAAUGCAAUAUAAAUAGAGUGCAUGAGAUGCUCUAAGUUUCAUUUAUAUCGUGCUGGAUGGAUUACGUUUUGCAUUUCAUAGUAAUGAAAUGAUCAUUCAGAUUACGCUGACAUGUUUGGUUUCUAUUCUUCUGUUUGAGGUUUAAGUUUCCCAUCUUUACUUGGUACAGAAAUGUUCUCCUGGACCUGUAUUCAUGGUUGAUGUUUAGCUUCCAAUGCACUUUUGAUAUCUUCAUUUACUAUUUUCCGUAGUUCAUGAUGUUAUAAUCAAAUAUUAUUUGCUUAUUUUAUUGUAGUAUUCUCUGCAGUUAGCAGCUAAAAUUCUUUAACUGCUGUAACAGUUCGAAGAUAUAAUUUGGGAUGAAUAUUACCAGAGUGAUGAUCAUAUAGUGCCUCAUCCUGGUGACAAACGGGCCAAAGAAAUUUCCUUUCAGGGUGAUAGUUGCAAGAAACCUCGCUGUGAAGUAACUGGUAUUUCAAGAAGUUAUGCAGAUAAAUCUGCUGCUAAACGUGUAGGUCAGGAGAAAGAACAAAGAGAUCUUUCAACUUCUAUUAAUAGAAAGAACCCCAUGUUUGAGAAGGAUUCAUCGUCUCGCCCACCCCACGAUGCAUCCCUCUCUCCAAUUGUUCGUGAUUCAAUCAAAGAAGAUUCGAGUUCAGCAUCUGACAAUACCAGAAUAUCAAGUCAUGGCUUCAACAACAAUAAUUUAGAUUCCAAUGGUAGUGAAGUUUGUGCAAAUGAUACCACACUCAAUGACAAGUGCACUGCUGUUGAGAGCAACUCUUUUAGUUAUCCACUCGGUGACAUUUCUCAAACAGUCGAUGAUCUGAAUUUCUUUGACAAAAAUCCUGAAGACGAGGAUUCUAGCGAUAUCUUACAUUAUGAUUGGCCUGAAAUAGGAAAUUUUGAGGAUGUCGACAGGAUGUUUAGGUAAUUUCUUACCUCGAGUUCAGAUUAAAUACGUUUUCAUUCUUAUUGCAUGUUUCUCAUUAUUACAUUGCAUUCUCCAGAAGUUGCGAUUCAACAUUUGGACUUGGGGAGGAUAAAGAAGAUGAAUUGGGUUGGUUUUCAUCAGAGGAUGCUAUAGGAGGAUCCGGUGAUAUUCUGAAGUCAGAUUUUAAGUUUUUCUGUCCCGAGUCCAAGGCAAUGGAAAAUAUUUCAGAAAACCAUGACACCUCGAUGGUAAAUGGAAGCUAUUCUACUAAUGAUAUUACCAGGACAACUGCAUCCAUUUGGUACUCAGAGAGAGAUGAAUCUGCUUCUCAUGUGUCCAUUGCGAAUGGAUCCACUGGAUCUGACAGAAAAGAAGAUGUCAUGCCCAUAGAAAAGGUAGGUCUGUGACUGCUACUAGAAUUUGGUUCUAUUCUUUUUUCCUUUCCAGAUAUAUCUGUUUGAAACCAUGAUUGACCAAUACGAGGCAAUUUUUUUGCAGGGAAUGGGACAGAAUGGUAAAAUGCAACCCAAGAUUUCAACUAACAGUUACAAAACUGGAAACAAAGAAAUGGUAAUGCACAAAUUCAAUAAAUUAGUGUUUUUAGGGCAAAUUAUUUUCCUUGAAUGUUCUUAUUUUCAAUAUUUGCUAGAGUAUAUGUAGAGAGAGAAAUACAUCAUUUUUUAAUAGAAGGAUUUUUUUAACCGAGUAGAAUUCAGAUAAUAUUAGUGGCUGGGUAUACUGAAUCUUUAUUUGGUCUGUAAAAUUUCUUUAUGUGACACUAUUGAAAUUUGAAAGACGGUCUACUGAACCAGUUUGACAAUACAAUAAUUCAAGUUUAAUAAACGUUGCAGGUUAAUGAGCAUAAAAAGCAGUCAAAGCAACAGAACCAUUCUCAGAGGAAAAGAAAAGAACAAUGCACUGGAAAUGGUUGUUUUAAUUAUGCUGGCAACCUGCCGAAUGAAGUUAGGCAUCUUCCUUCUGGGGACAUAUCUCAUGAAACUUUCCAAUAUAAGGCUAUUCAAUGUCAACCGAAGUCUCCGGUUCCAGAUUCUUGUGAUUACCUACAGAAUGCUUUUCCUUACGUGCAUUUAGAUAGCAGACAUUUACCAGAUAAAACUUCGGUACAUACAACUCAAUCUGCUGUCAGAUCUGAGAAUGAUGACUUGGCAUUCCUUUCACCGAGGGAGCCAUUGUAUGCCUCCAGUCAAGUGCAUUUCUUGGAAAAUUCUGGUGAUCCUCCAUUUCAGGUGGCUACUAUAGCGGGCAGUGAAAAAAGAGAGAAGCUAGUCAAUCAUAAAGGUAGUCAGUCUUCCAUACUUGA